UGAAAGUGCAUUUCGAGUGUUUGGAAUGUUGUGGAGUGUACUUCCACAAGUACAGUGGAGUGAAUCUCGAGACUCCUGCUCAGGGUGGCUUAGAAAAGCACCCUUGAAUCCAGAGAAGCCGCAAUGAGGGAGCAGUGAUAAAUGGUAUGCAGAAAGAGAAAAUAAUUUAACGGAAAAGAGACAGUAAGAGACAGCAAGAAGAUGGCUGUCUGCGACACAGGAAGAGGGCUCUCGCUAGGAAUGACCCAAUCAGGACCUUACCUUGAACUUGGACUUCCCAGCCUCCAGAACUGUGAGAAGUAAAUGUUUGCUGUUUAAGACACCCAGGCUGUGGUAUUUUCUUACAGCAGCCUGACUGGGCUAAUACUCGAAGGAAAGUGGACACAGAUAGAGACGUUCAGCAUGAACAGAAACAUGCAAAAUGAGCCCGUCGACAAAUAUUCCAAAACAUCUGAAAAGAUCUAAAGUUAAGUAUACAAUCAUAUAUGGGAAAAGUGGCUAUGAUAAGCUUAUAUAAGUUAUCAUGACUCCUGGCUUAUAUUUUCCAAGUUGUAGGUGGGAUUUCUUCUCUGGAUCAGAAUAGGUUCUUGGGGAAGGACAAAAGAAAAUGAUCUACUCAACUUUCAACCAACAAAAGCUAGUGACAAGUAGAAUGAUCCCUUGGAGUCGAUUCCAUGAAUUCAGCCUAAUUUGAAAGAAUAGUUGAAAAGUUUCUUUUACAUGUGUGAUGGUUGGUGGGUUUUAACCCGCACAAAGCAACUCAAUUUAUUAUCUUGUGAUUUUUUUAUCAGUCAGAAAUCAAGGUACAUGCUCAGCUCAACUCCCUACUUGAGAUCUCAACAGACCAACAUCACUGCACUGGCUGCCUGGGCUUUGGGGAGGAACUCACUUUCAAGCUCAUCCAGUAGUAUUCCACUGUGGUGGAUGGACAAAUAUGUGGACGUUUUGUUGUUCCAGUUUCCAGCUAUUACAACUAAAACUGCUUUGAACACUCAGAUGCUACCAGAAGACAUGGAGCUCCAGGUCAGAGACAAAGGAUUUUACUAUAACAGCGAGCAGCAUGAGUAUGAUGUUGGCACUGGUUAUCUUUGCCAACAAUUCCCAUGGAGGUGACAGAAAAUGGCCCACGUGUUUACUGAGCAUCCAGUGAGUUUGAUUCAUAGCCGAAGAACAUUGAUCUUGGGAAAUCUGCUGCUUUUCCAUUAAGCCUUGUCUUUGUUCUGGAAGGAUACAUCAUAUCAUCCUUUAAAAUUGUUUGCUGCCAAUGCAGCCCCGAGAAAUGGCCCAAAGAUCAUUUGAAUUUGAAGUAUAAAGAAAACCUGGAAUGACCGGAGCCCAGGAACAAGUACAGCCCCCUUUGGCUGUGAUUUCAUCAGUGGGUCUGGCUGUGAAUUUUUCAAGUGCUAGAAGCAAAUUAUCCUUUGAAGAGGCCAGUAGUAAGGAACCGAGGGCAGCCUCAAGCCAUUAGUCAGUGUGCCAUCCUGUAGGGAACUGAGUCCUACCAAGACCAGGUGUGUGAGCCUGGGAGCACAUCCUGUCCCAGCUGAACCUUGAGAUGGCCACCGCCUCAGACAGUGUCAUGGCUGCCGCCCGUCAGAGGACCAAGCUCACCUGCACGGGAUCCCUCACUCAGGGGACUGUGAGCCA